CGAAGGGGCUAGCGUUGCUCGGAAUUACUGGGCGUAAAGGGAGCGUAGGCGGACAUUUAAGUCAGGGGUGAAAUCCCGGGGGCUCAACCUCGGAAUUGCCUUUGAUACUGGGUGUCUUGAGUAUGAGAGAGGUGUGUGGAACUCCGAGUGUAGAGGUGAAAUUCGUAGAUAUUCGGAAGAACACCAGUGGCGAAGGCGACACACUGGCUCAUUACUGACGCUGAGGCUCGAAAGUGUGGGGGAGCAAACAGGAUU
rnacentral:rRNA from 1 species